CCCUUAGAUGUUCUGGGCCGCACGCGCGCUACACUGUUCGACGCAGCGAGUCUUAACCUUGACCGAAAGGUUUGGGUAAUCUUCAGCAAAGUCGAACGUGAUGGGGAUCGAUCAUUGCAAUUAUUGAUCGUGAACGAGGAAUUCCUAGUAAGUACAAGUCAUCAGCUUGCGCUGAUUACGUCCCUGCCCUUUGUACACACCGCCCGUCGCUACUACCGAUUGAAUGGUUUAGUGAGAUCUCUGGAUUGACGCUGGCUAGGGGGCGACCCUUGGCCAGGCUGUCGAGAAACUGCUCAAACUUGAUCAUUUAGAGGAAGUAAAAGUCGUAACA
rnacentral:rRNA from 1 species